AUGGCCUGGACCCCUCUCCUUCUAGGUCUCCUGGCUCACUGCAUAGGAUCUGUGGCCUCCUAUGAGCUCACCCAGCCACCCUUGGAGUCAAUGGCCCUGGGAGACACAGCCAGGAUCACCUGUGAGGGAAACAAUAUUGGCAGCAGCGCUGUGAAUUGGUACCAGCAGAAGCCAGGCCAGUCCCCUGUGCUGGUCAUCUAUGGUGAUAGCAACUGGCCCUCAGGGAUCCCUGAGCGAUUCUCAGGUUCCAACUCGGGGAACACAGCCACCCUGACCAUCAACGGGGCCCAGGCCAAGGAUGAUGUUGACUAUUACUGUCAGGUGUGGGACUUUGGCAGCGACCACCUUGAAUUCGUACUGGGGACUUUUUCUAAAUUGCCUUCAUUUUGUCCCUAUGGACUAAAUUCUCUGGUUGAGUGA